UUUAACUCAUUGGUAGAGUAAUGCCAUGGUAAGGCGUAAGUCAUUGGUUCAAAUCCAAUAA
rnacentral:tRNA from 1 species